UACGUAGGGAGAAAGCGUUGUUCGGAUUUACUGGGCGUAAAGGGCGCGUAGGCGGCGCGGUAAGUCACUUGUGAAAUCUCUGAGCUUAACUCAGAACGGCCAAGUGAUACUGCAGUGCUAGAGUGCAGAAGGGGCAAUCGGAAUUCUUGGUGUAGCGGUGAAAUGCGUAGAUAUCAAGAGGAACACCUGAGGUGAAGACGGGUUGCUAGGCUGACACUGACGCUGAGGCGCGAAAGCCAGGGGAGCAAACGGG
rnacentral:rRNA from 1 species